AAGUGGCGAACGGGUGCGUAACACGUAAGCAAUCUGCCCCGGACUCUGGGAUAACUUCUCGAAAGGGAAGCUAAGACUGGAUAGCGUCCUUGAGGUAUAAGCUGCGAGGGGAAAACAGGCCUCUUAUAUAUGCCUGUGGUUCGGGAUGAGCUUGCGGCCCAUUAGCUAGUUGGUAAGGUAACGGCUUACCAAGGCAACGAUGGGUAGCUGGUCUGAGAGGAUGAUCAGCCACACUGGCACUGAGAUACGGGCCAGACUCCUACGGGAGGCAGCAGUGGGGAAUUUUGCGCAAUGGGCGAAAGCCUGACGCAGUAACGCCGCGUGGAGGACGAAGGCCUUCGGGUUGUAAACUCCUGUCAGGGGGAACGACAGAGGCAGAAUGAACAGUUCUGCUCUCUAGACGGUACUUCCAAAGGAAGCCCCGGCUAAUUCCGUGCCAGCAGCCGCGGUAAUACGGAAGGGGCAAGCGUUGUUCGGAAUCAUUGGGCGUAAAGGGCGCGUAGGCGGUCUUGUGUGUCUGCUGUGAAAGCAUGCGGCUCAACCGCAGAGGGUCGGUGGAAACUGCAAGACUCGAGGCUGGGAGGGGCUGGUGGAAUUCCCUGUGUAGCGGUGAAAUGCGUAGAUAUAGGGGAGAACACUCGUGGCGAAGGCGGCCAGCUAGACCAGUCC
rnacentral:rRNA from 1 species